rnacentral:rRNA from 1 species
AACGCUGGCGGCAGGCUUAACACAUGCAAGUCGAGCGCCCCGCAAGGGGAGCGGCAGACGGGUGAGUAACGCGUGGGAAUCUACCCAUCUCUACGGAACAACUCCGGGAAACUGGAGCUAAUACCGUAUACGUCCUUCGGGAGAAAGAUUUAUCGGAGAUGGAUGAGCCCGCGUUGGAUUAGCUAGUUGGUGGGGUAAUGGCCUACCAAGGCGACGAUCCAUAGCUGGUCUGAGAGGAUGAUCAGCCACACUGGGACUGAGACACGGCCCAGACUCCUACGGGAGGCAGCAGUGGGGAAUAUUGGACAAUGGGCGAAAGCCUGAUCCAGCCAUGCCGCGUGAGUGAUGAAGGCCCUAGGGUUGUAAAGCUCUUUCAACGGUGAAGAUANUGACGGUAACNGUAGAAGAAGCCCCGGCUAACUUCGUGCCAGCAGCCGCGGUAAUACNAAGGGNGCUAGCGUUGUUCGNAAUUACUGGNCGUAAAGCGCACGUAGGNGGAUACUUAAGUCAGGNGUGAAAUCCCGGGGNUCANCCCCGGAACU